CGAACGGCAGCGCGGGAGCAAUCCUGGCGGCGAGUGGCGAACGGGUGAGUAAUACAUCGGAACGUGCCCAAUCGUGGGGGAUAACGUAGCGAAAGCUACGCUAAUACCGCAUAAGAUCUACGGAUGAAAGCGGGGGAUUCGUAAGAACCUCGCGCGAGUGGAGCGGCUGAUGGCAGAUUAGGUAGUUGGUGAGGUAAAGGCUCACCAAGCCUUCGAUCUGUAGCUGGUCUGAGAGGACGACCAGCCACGCUGGGACUGAGACACGGCCCAGACUCCUACGGGAGGCAGCAGUGGGGAAUUUUGGACAAUGGGCGAAAGCCUGAUCCAGCCAUGCCGCGUGCAGGAUGAAGGCCUUCGGGUUGUAAACUGCUUUUGUACGGAACGAAAAGGUCUUUUCUAAUAAAGAGGGCCCAUGACGGUACCGUAAGAAUAAGCACCGGCUAACUACGUGCCAGCAGCCGCGGUAAUACGUAGGGUGCAAGCGUUAAUCGGAAUUACUGGGCGUAAAGCGUGCGCAGGCGGUUAUAUAAGACAGUUGUGAAAUCCCCGGGCUCAACCUGGGAACUGC
rnacentral:rRNA from 1 species